CUGGCCAGCMAGCGCGUAUCGUAGUGGCAAGCGUGUCGGAAUUGGGCGUAAGCGCUCGCAGGCGGUUCUUUAAGUCUGAUGUGAAAUCUUACGGCUCAACCGUAAACGUGCAUUGGAAACUGGGGAACUUGAGUGCAGAAGAGGAGAGUGGAAUUCCACGUGUAGCGGUGAAAUGCGUAGAGAUGUGGAGGAACACCAGUGGCGAAGGCGACUCUCUGGUCUGUAACUGACGCUGAGGAGCGAAAGCGUGGGGAGCGAACAGGAUUAGAUACCCUGGUAGUCCACGCCGUAAACGAUGAGUGCUAGGUGUUAGGGGGUUUCCGCCCCUUAGUGCUGAAGUUAACGCAUUAAGCACUCCGCCUGGGGAGUACGGCCGCAAGGCUGAAACUCAAAAGAAUUGACGGGGGCCCGCACAAGCGGUGGAGCAUGUGGUUUAAUUCGAAGCAACGCGAAGAACCUUACCAGGUCUUGACAUCCUCUGAACACUCUAGAGAUAGAGUUUUCCCUUCGGGGACAGAGUGACAGGUGGUGCAUGGUGUCGUCAGCUCGUGUCGUGAGAUGUUGGGUUAAGUCCCGCAACGAGCGCAACCCU
rnacentral:rRNA from 1 species